rnacentral:rRNA from 1 species
CGGGUGGCAGCAGUCGAGAAUCAUUCACAAUGGACGAAAGUCUGAUGGUGCAACGCCGCGUGGAGGAUGAAGGACCUAGGUUCGUAAACUCCUGUCAUAUAAGAGUAAGACAUAUUGGGAAUAAUACCCUGAUAUGUUUGAUAGUAUUAUAAGAGGAAGGGACGGCUAACUUCGUGCCAGCAGCCGCGGUAAUACGAAGGUCCCGAGCGUUAUUCGGAAUCACUGGGCGUAAAGAGUACGUAGGCGGUUUGGUAAGUCAGGUGUGAAAUCCCGAAGCUCAACUUCGGAACUGCAUCCGAUACUGCCAGACUAGAGUAAUGGAGAGGCAGGUGGAAUUCUCGGUGUAGCAGUGAAAUGCGUGGAUAUCGAGAGGAAGACCAAUGGCGAAGGCAGCCUGCUGGACAUUUACUGACGCUGAGGUACGAAGGCUAGGGUAGCGAAAGGGAUUAGAUACCCCUGUAGUCCUAGCAGUAAACGGUGCGCGCUUGGUGUAGGAGGACUCGACCCCUUCUGUGCCGGAGCUAACGCGUUAAGCGCGCCGCCUGGGGAGUACGGUCGCAAGACUAAAACUCAAAGAAAUUGACGGGGACCCGCACAAGCGGUGGAGUAUGUGGCUUAAUUCGAUGCAACGCGAAGAACCUUACCAAGGCUUGACAUGUAUUGCUAAGCACGUGAAAGCGUGUGACCCUUCGGGGACCUUACACAGGUGCUGCAUGGCCGUCGUCAGCUCGUGUCGUGAGAUGUUUGGUUAAGUCCAGCAACGAGCGCAACCCCUGUGAAUAGUUGCCAGCACGUAAUGGUGGGGACUCUAUUCAGACUGCCCAGGUCAACUGGGAGGAGGUGGGGAUGACGUCAGGUCAGUAUGGCCCUUACGCCUUGGGCUGCACACGUACUACAAUGCCC